AGGAUUUCUCCAUUCUUUGUAUACACACAUUGAACUUCACCUACAACUUGACAUUGAAUUUGCAAAGUGUUGACUAAAAUUGAUAUUCAAAUGAACUUUAAAGGAAAAAUGAUUGGAAAUGAUCGUUUAACUGCAGAAUCAUUGAAAUGUGCAUUGGCUGCAUACAUGUAUAUCAUCAAAGGAAGGUGUGGAGAUAGAAUACACUCAGGAAAUACCAAACAUUUUCAAUUUAAUUACAUGUACUCGUCCGUCGCAACACAGCUGUAUACUUGGACAAUGCAUUACCUUCUCACCGCUACAACCCGAUGUAUUUCCUUUGGUCGACAAUUGUUGUAUAUGAAAGGGUAUGAUGGUCGCCCUCUUGGACACGUGGUUUUUCGCCAGUUAUUUCUGUUUUCUCCACCGUCAAUUUCCCAUCAUUUUUACGCUAACAUCCGUGCCAACAUUAGGAGAUAUAAGCGGGGUGUC